GACGAACGCUGGCGGCGCUGCUUAACACAUGCAAGUCGAACGGAAAGGCCCUGCUUUUGUGGGGUGCUCGAGUGGAGAACGGGUGAGUAACACGUGAGUAACCUGCCCUUGACUUUGGGAUAACUUCAGGAAACUGGGGCUAAUACCGGAUAGGAGCUCCUGCUGCAUGGUGGGGGUUGGAAAGUUUCAGCGGUUGGGGAUGGACUCGCGGCUUAUCAUCUUGUUGGUGGGGUAGUGGCUUACCAAGGCUUUGACGGGUAGCCGGCCUGAAAGGGUGACCGGCCACAUUGGGACUGACAUACGGCCCAGACUCCUACGGGAGGCAGCACUGGGGAAUAUUGCACAAUGGGCGGAAGCCUGAUGCAACAACGCCGCGUGCGGGAUGACGGCCUUCGGGUUGUAAACCGCUUUCGCCUGUGACGAAGCGUGAGUGACGGUAAUGGGUAAAGAAGCACCGGCUAACUACGUGCCAGCAGCCGCGGUGAUACGUAGGGUGCGAGCGUUGUCCGGAUUUAUUGGGCGUAAAGGGCUCGUAGGUGGUUGAUCGCGUCGGAAGUGUAAUCUUGGGGCUUAACCCUGAGCGUGCUUUCGAUACGGGUUGACUUGAGGAAGGUAGGGGAGAAUGGAAUUCCUGGUGGAGCGGUGGAAUGCGCAGAUAUCAGGAGGAACACCAGUGGCGAAGGCGGUUCUCUGGGCCUUUCCUGACGCUGAGGAGCGAAAGCGUGGGGAGCGAACAGGCUUAGAUACCCUGGUAGUCCACGCUGUAAACGGUGGGUACUAGGUGUGGGGUCCAUUCCACGGGUUCCGUGCCGUAGCUAACGCUUUAAGUACCCCGCCUGGGGAGUACGGCCGCAAGGCUAAAACUCAAAGGAAUUGACGGGGCCCCGCACAAGCGGCGGAGCAUGCGGAUUAAUUCGAUGCAACGCGUAGAACCUUACCUGGGUUUGACAUGGAUCGGGAGCGCUCAGAGAUGGGUGUGCCUCUUUCGGGGUCGGUUCACAGGUGGUGCAUGGCUGUCGUCAGCUCGUGUCGUGAGAUGUUGGGUUAAGUCCCGCAACGAGCGCAACCCUUGUUCACUGUUGCCAGCACGUUAUGGUGGGGACUCAGUGGAGACCGCCGGGGUCAACUCGGAGGAAGGUGGGGAUGACGUCAAGUCAUCAUGCCCCUUAUGUCCAGGGCUUCACGCAUGCUACAAUGGCUGGUACAGAGAGUGGCGAGCCUGUGAGGGUGAGCGAAUCUCGGAAAGCCGGUCUCAGUUCGGAUCGGGGUCUGCAACUCGACCUCACGAAGUCGGAGUCGCUAGUAAUCGCAGAUCAGCAACGAUGCGGUGAAUACGUUCCCGGG
rnacentral:rRNA from 1 species